GAUGAAGAACGUAGCGAAAUGCGAUAAUUGAUGUGAAUUGCAGAAUUCCGUGAAUCAUCGAGUCUUUGAACACACAUUGCGCCUCAUGGCAUUCCGUGAGGCAUGCCCAUCUCACCGUUAGAAAAUAUUCUCAAAUUUUAGUUUUGUGCUAAAAUUUGGAUCAUGUCAAGGAAGCUAUUACUAUUAUUGUGAUCGCUCUUUGGAAAUUGAUAGGUCUUUGAGUUGCUACUCAUAGAACGUGAUGAAUCUUUCUUCGUUCUAUUGUAAUUCACUCUGGUAGUCCUAAAACUUGUAUGCCUGUGGCAUAUCUUGUAAUUUGACCUGAGAUUGGGUAGGGAUACCCGCUGAACUUAAGCAUAUCAAUAAGCGGAGGA
rnacentral:misc_RNA from 1 species